UACGUAGGGUGCGAGCGUUAAUCGGAAUUACUGGGCGUAAAGCGUGCGCAGGCGGUUUUGUAAGCCAGGUGUGAAAUCCCCCGGGCUCAACCUGGGAAUGGCAUUUGGGACUGCAAGGCUGGAGUGCGGCAGAGGAGACUGGAAUUCCUGGUGUAGCAGUGGAAUGCGUAGAUAUCAGGAGGAACACCGAUGGCGAAGGCAGGUCUCUGGGCUGACACUGACGCUCAUGCACGAAAGCGUGGGGAGCAACAGGAUAGAAACCCUGGUAAGUCC
rnacentral:rRNA from 1 species